UACAGAGGUCCCGAGCGUGUUCGGAUUCAUUGGGCGUAAAGGGUGCGUAGGCGGUCUUCUAAGUUUGAUGUGAAAUCCCGGGGCUCAACCCUGGAAUGGCAUUGAAUACUGGAGGACUAGAGUACCGGAGAGGAAACUGGAAUUUACGGUGUAGCAGUGAAAUGCGUAGAGAUCGUAAGGAAGACCAGUGGCGAAGGCGAGUUUCUGGACGGUAACUGACGCUGAGGCACGAAGGCCAGGGGAGCAAACGGG
rnacentral:rRNA from 1 species